GAUGAACGCUGGCGGCGUGCCUAACACAUGCAAGUCGAGCGAUUUACUUCGGUAAAGAGCGGCGGACGGGUGAGUAACGCGUGGGUAACCUGCCCUGUACACACGGAUAACAUACUGAAAGGUAUGCUAAUACGGGAUAACAUAAAAGAGUCGCAUGGCUUUCUUAUCAAAGCUUUUGCGGUACAGCAUGGACCCGCGUCUGAUUAGCGAGUUGGUAAGGUAACGGCUUACCAAGGCGACGAUCAGUAGCCGACCUGAGAGGGUGAUCGGCCACAUUGGAACUGAGACACGGUCCAAACUCCUACGGGAGGCAGCAGUGGGGAAUAUUGCACAAUGGGCGAAAGCCUGAUGCAGCAACGCCGCGUGAGCGAUGAAGGCCUUCGGGUCGUAAAGCUCUGUCCUCAAGGAAGAUAAUGACGGUACUUGAGGAGGAAGCCCCGGCUAACUACGUGCCAGCCGCCGCCGUAA
rnacentral:rRNA from 1 species